CUGUAGACACGUAGUUUGAUCAGUCGGCUCAGGACGAACGCUGGCGGCGUGCUUCAUACAUGCAAGUCGAACGAGAAGUCACCUUCGGGUGAUGGAAAGUGGCGGACGGGUGAGUAAUGUGUAGAGAAUCUGCCCUUGAGUGGGGGACAACAGUUGGAAACGACUGCUAAUACCGCAUAAGCGCACGGUAUCGCAUGAUACAGUGUGAAAAACUCCGGUGGUAUAAGAUGGACCCGCGUCUGAUUAGCUUGUUGGUGAGGUAACGGCCCACCAAGGCGACGAUCAGUAGCCGGCCUGAGAGGGUGAACGGCCACAUUGGGACUGAGACACGGCCCAAACUCCUACGGGAGGCAGCAGUGGGGAAUAUUGCACAAUGGGGGAAACCCUGAUGCAGCGACGCCGCGUGAGUGAAGAAGUAUUUCGGUAUGUAAAGCUCUAUCAGCAGGGAAGAAGAAAUGACGGUACCUGACUAAGAAGCCCCGGCUAACUACGUG
rnacentral:rRNA from 1 species